GGGCAAUUGGUCUAGUGGUAUGAUUUUCGCUUCGCAGGCCCGUGUAUGUGAAUGUGAAAGGUCGUGGGUUCAAUUCCCACAUUGUCCA